AAACCCAACCCACACCGCUUUUUGACCCGCCCCAUCUUCAUUAGCAACAUCAUCAAUGCAGCAACACAGGGCAGUAGCCAUUUUUGUCAUCUACUCCAAUUCCCUCGACAAGAGUACGAUCACACAGCGUUGUGGUAGAGCAGCACACUUUUUUUCCUCCCCAACUCGAGAUUGUGCCACGUCGAGCGCCAAGGACAUCCGAUUGAUCAAGACCCUCCACCUCAUUCCAAUCCGUUGGAAUCAAGAAUCAAUUUGACACAGGUAACCAGGAUCAGUAUGCAGAGCCCCGUUGAUUCAAUUUGAGCUCCAGAGUCAGUGGAUUUGGGAAAAAAAGAUAAGAGAAGAACGAGAAAGGAGAAAAGAUCAAGAUUUCACCAAGAACGCCAAGAGAUUCUAGUGGAAUUCGUGGGGCUGAUCCCUAUCGAGAAGUAGGUAACCAAGAUCAGCAUGCAAUGCUCCGUUGAUCCAGUUUGAGCUCUAGAGUCAGUGGUAAGCCUCCUUGCAUUCUGGAGGAUCUUUUUUUAUGCUUUCCAGUCUUCCUAUUCAGAAUGUUGUGUAGUAUGUCCCAACAUUCAUCAAAGUAAUGGAUAGUUAGUAGUUCAGUUGUGUCCCUUUAUUUCAGAUUCUAUAUUUGAGACUCAAGUGCCAUUGUGGCCAAGACAUCAUUUAAAAUUAUUUAUGAGAAUUUUUCCAAUUCUAUAACUGAAUUAAGUUGAGUCUUCCGCUGAGUUGAGUAAGCCAAGCCAAGGGUUUGCUCAAGGCCAGCAAUGGUCAUCGAGUGCCGGUCACGUCCAGGGUGUAGGCUCGGGGUGUGACAUAUCUAUUAAUAAACCAAGACCCCUAUUGAAGUAGUUUAUUUUUAGAAUUCUCUUCUUUAUAAAAUUUAGCUAUAUAUUAGUCAUUACGCAGAUCAAUAAAUAUGAUUUCUUGUUAUACUC